rnacentral:misc_RNA from 1 species
CUAAUCAGAAAGAGGGGCGUAUUUCAUCUCUCUUCUCAAAAGUCUCUCUCCUUCCCUGACCGUUUCAUCUUAAUUUCUGCUUCAUUUUAUUGAUUUGUCUAUUAAACAUCGAAAAAUCCUUUCAUUUUCUUGUUUGGGCGCUGGUGUUUGCAGAGAACUGAAGAUGGAAGCAGCAGCAGCUGCCGCCGCGUCUGUUGUUGGAUCUUCGUUUGGGAUUCAUAGACCUGCAACUUCUGUUGGGGGAUCGGUGUUUCUCGCCGCCAAUGGCCCCCAUUUUAUGCGUUUUUCUAUCAAAUAUGACUUCCCAACUAAUAAGCAUUGUUCCUUAGUUUCAUGUGGAAAAUCGCGGCAUAGAAGAGUGGGUUUUGGAAGGGGGAUAUCUGCAAUAGUAAGAGCGUCAUCAUCGUCACCGGCUUCAGAUUCUUCUGGGUCACUAGCUCCAAUAGCACCGCUUCAGUUCGAGUCCCCUAUAGGGCUGUUCUUAUCUCAAAUCUUGAUUACUCAUCCACAUCUUGUACCAGCAGCAGUUGAGAAACAGCUAGAGCAGUUCCAAACUGACCGUGAUGCAGAUAAAGAGAAGGAAGAGCCUGGCACUGAUUUAGUAUUGUACAGGAGAAUUGCCGAGGUGAAGGCCAAUGAAAGGAGAAAAGCUUUAGAAGAGAUUUUGUAUGCGUUGGUUGUGCAGAAAUUUAUGGAUGCUAAUGUUUCUUUGAUACCCACAAUAGCCCCCUCUUCUGCUGACCCAUCUGACCGUGUGGAUAAGUGGCCAAGCCAAGACGAGAAGCUCAAGCAACUUCACUCUCCUGAAGCAUAUGAGAUGAUUCAGAACCACCUAGCUCUCAUUUUGGGAAACGGGGCAGCAGAUUCAACUGCAGUAGCACAGAUAAGCAAACUGAGGGCUGGACAGGUGUAUGCAGCAUCUGUGAUGUAUGGAUACUUCCUCAAGCGUGUUGAUCAGAGGUUUCAGCUUGAGAAGACAAUGAAAAUCCUUCCUAACAUAGUGGAUGAGGGAGAUAGUAAUGUUCAACAAGAUAUGAAAUCUAGUCGCGGAGAGGAUGCCUUUCAAGCUGUGUCAUCCCACCCAGAGGCCUGGGCCGGUGGUAUCAGUCCAGGGGGAUUUGGUCAUGGCAUAAAGUCCUCUCGACUGCGGAGUUAUGUGAUGUCCUUUGAUGGAGAGACACUUCAAAGACAUGCAACAAUAAGAUCCAAAGAGGCAAUUAGCAUCAUUGAGAAGCACACAGAGGCCUUGUUUGGAAGACCAGAAAUUGUGAUAACUCCUCAAGGGACCAUUGACUCUUCCAAGGAUGAACUUGUGAAGAUCAGCUUUGGUGGUUUGAGGAGACUUGUUUUGGAGGCUGUGACUUUUGGUUCAUUCCUCUGGGAUGUUGAGAGCUAUGUGGAUUCAAGGUACCAUUUUGUUAUGAACUGAGGAAUUCUUGCCUGGAUUCCUGUUAAAGCAAAUUUGUGUCAAGAGGUACAACUAACGGAAUUUAAAUGUCAUAAGUGAGAGUAAAUUACUAAAUUCGGUGAUAACAUCCUAGUAAUUGUACUGAUAUUUUUGUUCAUAGUUUUGUUAAUGUAAUUUCUUGUUUUAGUUUGCAUGGUGAAACGGAGAUGGCUAUAUGAAAUUCGUUUUACUAUCUUUCAUUACUAUUUUGUACAUACGCAUAA